UUGGAGAAGUUUGAUCCUGGCUCAGGAUGAACGCUGGCGGCGUGCCUAAUACAUGCAAGUCGAGCGAACAGACGAGGAGCUUGCUCCUCUGACGUUAGCGGCGGACGGGUGAGUAACACGUGGAUAACCUACCUAUAAGACUGGGAUAACUUCGGGAAACCGGAGCUAAUACCGGAUAACAUGUUGAACCGCAUGGUUCAACAGUGAAAGACGGUCUUGCUGUCACUUAUAGAUGGAUCCGCGCCGCAUUAGCUAGUUGGUAAGGUAACGGCUUACCAAGGCAACGAUGCGUAGCCGACCUGAGAGGGUGAUCGGCCACACUGGAACUGAGACACGGUCCAGACUCCUACGGGAGGCAGCAGUAGGGAAUCUUCCGCAAUGGGCGAAAGCCUGACGGAGCAACGCCGCGUGAGUGAAGAAGGUCUUCGGAUCGUAAAACUCUGUUAUUAGGGAAGAACAAAUGUGUAAGUAACUAUGCACGUCUUGACGGUACCUAAUCAGAAAGCCACGGCUAACUACGAUGCCAGCAGCCGCGGUAAUAA
rnacentral:rRNA from 1 species